rnacentral:rRNA from 1 species
UACGGGGGGGGCAAGCGUUGUUCGGAAUUACUGGGCGUAAAGGGCGCGUAGGCGGCCUUCUAAGUCGGACGUGAAAUCCCUCGGCUUAACCGAGGAACUGCGUCUGAUACUGGAUGGCUUGAGUUUGGGAGAGGGACGCGGAAUUCCAGGUGUAGCGGUGAAAUGCGUAGAUAUCUGGAGGAACACCGGUGGCGAAGGCGGCGUCCUGGACCAACACUGACACUGAGGAGCGAAAGCCAGGGGAGCAAACGGG